GACGAACGCUGGCGGCGUGCUUAACACAUGCAAGUCGAACGGACGGGCCCUACUUUUGUGGGGUUCACGAGUGCCGCACGGGUGGGUAACACGUGAGUAACCUGCCCUUAUCUUUCGGAUAACUUCAGGAAACUGGGGCUAAUACCGGAUAGGAGCUCCUGCUCCAUGGUGGGGGAUGGAAAGUUUCGGCGGUUGGGGAUCGACUGGCGGCUUAUGCGCUUGUUAGUGAGGUAGUUAAUGACGAAGUUUUUGACGGAUAGGCGGCCUGAGAGGCUGACCGGCGACAUUGGGACUGAGAGACGGCGCAGACGCCUACGGGAGGCAGCAGUGGGGAAUAUGGCGCAGUGGGGCGAAGCGUGAGGCAGAAACGCCGCGUGCGGGAUGACGGCCUUCGGGUGAAAAACCGCUGUGGCAGGAGACGAAGCGUGAGUGACGGUAAUGGGUAAAAAAGCACCGGCUAACUACGUG
rnacentral:rRNA from 1 species